GCUGUAGGUCAGUAGUACACCAUCUGCUUUGCAUGCAAAAGAUUCCAGGUUCAAUCCCUGGCAUCUUCA